AACGAACGCUGGCGGCAUGCCUAGCACAUGCAAGUCGAACGAUGCCUUCGGGCAUAGUGGCGCACGGGUGCGUAACGCGUGGGAAUCUGCCCUUGGCUUCGGAAUAACAGUUAGAAAUGACUGCUAAUACCGGAUGAUGUCCCCCUGAGAGAUCUUGGGGACCAAAGAUUUAUCGGCCAGGGAUGAGCCCGCGUAGGAUUAGGUAGUUGGUGGGGUAAAGGCCUACCAAGCCGACGAUCCUUAGCUGGUCUGAGAGGAUGAUCAGCCACACUGGGACUGAGACACGGCCCAGACUCCUACGGGAGGCAGCAGUGGGGAAUAUUGGACAAUGGGGGGAACCCUGAUCCAGCAAUGCCGCGUGAGUGAUGAAGGCCUUAGGGUUGUAAAGCUCUUUUACCAGGGAUGAUAAUGACAGUACCUGGAGAAUAAGCUCCGGCUAACUCCGUG
rnacentral:rRNA from 1 species